UGCCAUUGUGAAGCAGUAGAAAAAUUCAAAGUCAGCAUGCUAGUGUUGGGCAGCCAUGGUCGGGGAGCCAUAAAGAGGGCUUUUCUGGGGAGUGUCAGCAACUACUGCAUCCACAAUGCCAAGACCCCUGUUCUUGUCGUAAG